GAAUAUUAGUCAAUGCUCGAAAGAGUGAACUAGCUAACUGAAAUCAAUUAUAAUAAUUGAUAACAUAAGGAAAAAUAAUGAUAUUACCUUAUUAUUAGUGUCGUCCAAAUCUGGUGCCAGAAGACUCGGUAAGGCCAGAGACACAAACGUUAAUCGUCUUAAUCAGGCGUAAAGGGUUUGUAGGCGGCUUUUAAAUUUACUUAUACAAAAUUAAAAAGAUAAAUAAGUUAAUAAUAAAAGCUAGAAUCAAAUAGAGGAUAUAUCAAAUAAUGCUUAGAGUAGGUCUGAUAUCCUUAGAUACUAAGUAGAAUAUUAAAGGCGAAAGCUUUUUUCCAAUAAUGAUUGACGCUCAGAAACGAAGGUGAGGAUAGGAAAUAGGAUUAGAUACCCAAAAUACCCCUCUCUGUCAACGAUGAAUGGUAGUUAUUAGUAAUAAACUUAUUAAUGGCAAUGUUAACACGAUAACCAUUCCGCCUUGUGAGUACAACUGCAAAGUUGAAAACAAAAAAAUUAGUCGGUUUCGGAGCAAACGAAGUGAAGCAUGUUAUUUA
rnacentral:rRNA from 1 species